rnacentral:misc_RNA from 1 species
GUGAAUCAUCGAAUCUUUGAACGCAAAUUGCACUCUCUUCGGAGCGUAUGACUGUUUGAGGGUCAGUAUUAAUAAAAAUCGGUGUACUGCUUCUUUGUGACGCCACGGAGUUUGGGUCAUCUUAAUAUCUUUUAGGUUUUAAGAGGCUUAAAAUUGACUUUUUUUGCGCAUUUUAGAUGAUCAUAUAUUUUUUUUUUUAUUAGUCUGUUUUAUUGCUCAAUUUCCUAAUAGAUGCGACCAUAUCGUGUGGUUUCGUGUCUAUAACUUUUUCAUGAUUUGACCUCAAAUUAGGUAGG